UGCAUCAUGUGUGACCUGCCCA
rnacentral:miRNA from 13 species